UGGGAAUUUGGACAAUGGGCGAAAGCCUGAUCCAGCAAUGCCGCGUGUGUGAAGAAGGCCUUUGGGUUGUAAAGCACUUUUGUCCGGAAAGAAAUCCUUGGCUCUAAUACAGUCGGGGAUGACGGUACCGGAAGAAUAAGCACCGGCUAACUACGUGCCAGCAGCCGCGGUAAUACGUAGGGUGCAAGCGUUAAUCGGAAUUACUGGGCGUAAAGCGUGCGCAGGCGGUUUGCUAAGACCGAUGUGAAAUCCCCGGGCUCAACCUGGGAACUGCAUUGGUGACUGGCAGGCUAGAGUAUGGCAGAGGGGGGUAGAAUUCCACGUGUAGCAGUGAAAUGCGUAGAGAUGUGGAGGAAUACCGAUGGCGAAGGCAGCCCCCUGGCAAGUACUGACGCUCAUGCACGAAAGCGUGGGGAGCAAAACAGGAUUAGAUACCCCUGGUAGUCCACGCCCCUAAAACGAUGUCAACUAGUUGUUGGGGAUUCAUUUCCUUAGUAACGUAGCUAACGCGUGAAGUUGACCGCCUGGGGAGUACGGUCGCAAGAUUAAAACUCAAAUGAAUUGACGGGGUCAUAGCUGUUUCCU
rnacentral:rRNA from 1 species